rnacentral:misc_RNA from 1 species
UACGGAGGGUGCAAGCGUUGUUCGGAAUCAUUGGGCGUAAAGCGAGCGUAGGCGGGUUGGUAAGUCGGAUGUGAAAGCCCUCGGCUUAACCGAGGAAGUGCAUUCGAUACUGCUAGUCUUGAGUACUGGAGAGGGAAGCGGAAUUCCCGGUGUAGAGGUGAAAUUCGUAGAUAUCGGGAGGAACACCAGUGGCGAAGGCGGCUUCCUGGACAGAUACUGACGCUGAGGCUCGAAAGCGUGGGGAGCAAACAGG